rnacentral:rRNA from 1 species
CCUACGGGGCGCAGCAGUGAGGAAUAUUGGUCAAUGGUCGGGAGACUGAACCAGCCAAGCCGCGUGAGGGAUGAAGGUACAGAGUAUCGUAAACCUCUUUUGUCAGGGAACAAAGGCGGGGACGCGUCCCCGGAUGAGUGUACCUGAAGAAAAAGCAUCGGCUAACUCCGUGCCAGCAGCCGCGGUAAUACGGAGGAUGCGAGCGUUAUCCGGAAUGACUGGGCGUAAAGGGAGUGUAGGCGGCUCGUUAAGUUAUAUGUGAAAUCCCGCGGCUCAACCGUGGAAGUGCAUAUAAAACUGGGGAGCUGGAGUGCAGGAGAGGUGAGUGGAAUUCCUAGUGUAGCGGUGGAAUGCGUAGAUAUUAGGAAGAACACCGGUGGCGAAGGCGGCUCACUGGACUGUAACUGACGCUGAGGCUCGAAAGCGUGGGGAGCAAACAGGAUUAGAUACCCGGGUAGUC